UUUAAGGCACUAUCCCUUUCGGCUAUUUAGGGUUGUCAAAAUUCAAGUCAUUAUCUUAUCUGUGGUCGGGCAAAGGGACGGACGUCAAGUUGUGCCAACCCUAAUAAUUGCUCGGAGCAAUGCUGAGCCGAACGGAGCCGAGAAUGGCCGAAAGGAUUAGUUUCGCCCCCCUGACAACGGGUUUAUCCACUUAGUUAUACUAGUUAUAAUUUAUAAAUAACAGAAGCAUCAGAAUUAGUAAUACAUAAUAUAUGUUCAUCACAUCACAAUAUACUAAGUAAAUGGGUGGUUCAACUUUUAAGUGUUGUUUUUUCUUGUGUUGUUUUCUGUCCCGUUUCCCAAGGGACAUGGCUUCUUCUGGAAAUGGCUUUUAACCAAGCCUCGGAACCGGUUUAGAAAGUACCGGUUUAUUUCGGUUUUCCUCCGAACUUUCAUAAGAACGCGAACGUUUUAAGAACUUUAUUGUAACCU